rnacentral:lncRNA from 1 species
ACUUCAUCUCUUAACUCUUGAUCCCCAGGGGGCCACUAUCCGUGGUGGCUGGAAGGACCUGAGCUCCGUUUGUCCCAGCCCUCCGUUUGAUUGGUAACUGUCUCUUGCAUUACUGACUUCAGCAGGCAUUUGCCCAGCACCUACUCCGUGCCAAGCCGCCAGAACACAGAGGAUGGCAGAGAGUCCACCUGCUUAAGUUGGAAAUCUGUGCACCACGAAAGUGAAAUAGGGUGCCUUGAUGAAAUUGGAUGAUUUUCAUCCACUCAGGGUGAGUGACCGGCAGCCAGGAGCUGGGUCGGAGAAGAUGGUGGAUUUCCGUACGUCUGAUGGACGACUCCGCGGGUUCCGGCUAACAGCCUUUCUGUUUUGUGCCUAUUUCACUGUUUAGAUUUAACAUUGCCAAAUACUAGAAAUUUUCUCC